UGAUGUGACGUCAGCAUAGGCUUGCGAAUUCCGUGGAGUACAGAGCAGAAGCGAUUGCGGUCUCUGGGAGAUUUAGCAUCCUUCGCAAUCCUUGUAGAGUAUACAUAGGUUUCGUAAACUAUUCCAGAAUUAAAUAUCUGCACUAUCAAAGCUAUUGAAUGGUGUGCGUUUUGCGUCCACCAGCCCAGAAUUAAAGGGCUUGCGAGAUAAAAAAAAAAGUCGUUCCCCUUGCUUGCUAAGGGUCCGUCUCGAUUGGCGCUCGUUAGUCGAGCUGUAUCCAGCAGCAGCGCAUUCAUCCGUUUUUUUGUAUGCAAGUUGAGAAAAUAAGUUGAUCAGUGUAAAUGCUGCCAUUCCAGCCCGCACUGUAGGCGCGAAAUAAUUUGCGUCGCAAUGAGACCGCAGUCACUCGUUUAGGCCUCGUUUUCGCAAAUCCAAUAUGGAGGAAGCGCCACUGCGUCAGUGUAUUAUGCUGUUGUGAAGGGCCCCAUCGGAUCGUCCGGUCAUGGAUACGUGACGACGGCUCGUCUCAUCGACCACCAGCCACGAUGCGGGGAUCCGAAGAACGUUCGGCACGUUCCCGCGCCAAAGUGAAGGAGAAAGCUCGCAGUCCCGAGGAGAGCCGCCGCGUGAGCAGCAAGUCUCGGCACUCGUCCCAGAGCAGCAGUCAUCGAAAGCACAAGAAGAGCCAUCGGUCGCACCGACGAAAGCAUGCAACGCGCGACUCGGAGCGAGCCGUCAUUGCCACCAAGCCGCUGGUCGAGUACGACGAUGUGAGUUCGGACUCCUCGCUGUUCUCGGAUGACGGCGGAGCGCCCGCCGAACACCUGUACCCGGCGUCUCCGCUGCCGGUGUCUUCCUCAAGCCGGCACGGCGCGGAACGGCAGCCUGAGCGAACCGACAGUGGCAGCAACAAGCGGCGGCACUCUUCGCGGCACAAGGUGAGCGAUACCAAAGAGAGCACGAGUUCCUCGCGCUCUUCGAGUCGGCGUAACCACAGCGAACGGCCACCGUCUCCUCCGCCUCCACCGCCGUCCUCGUCGCGUUCGUCGCGGGACUACUCGACGUCGAGCGGCUACUAUGAACGAGACGUGAUGAAGGACUACGCGAGUAGCCGAACCUAUAUGAGUGCUUACAGGGAAUCGUCGGGCGUGCUGGACCCGUACUAUGGUGUGUCGGACUCUCAUGGCGACUGCUACGGCAGUCGCUCGAGCGGCAGUCGUAAACGGUCCCUGUCGCCGGACCAUCCGCGUGCCUACAAGAGCAGCGGUCGCAGCCCGGCGAGCUCGCCCAGCCCGCCGCCUAGCCGUUCGGCCAAGCGGCGGAAAUCUCCAACAUCCGACGCCCGCGAGAAAGACCGGCCAUCGCGGAACUAUUCGCCCAACAAUUCCUCUAGUCUCUACUCGUCGUCGCGCAAGGCCUCCGCGUACUCGCGAAGUCGGAGCAGAAGCCCUGUCAGGUCCAGGCGUUCCCGAAGAUCCAGAAGCCGUUCACGGAGCCCCCCUCCCCAGCGCCCUAGGGUUGGCCGAUCCCGGUCACCACCCUUGAGCCCUCCUGCGGCCUACCAGACGCAUCGACGGCGGGAGCGCAGCCCCAGCUACGAAACCAAGUUCGCCUCCACGAGUCUCGGUGCCGAGUUGCGCAAGCAUCGCAAAGGCCGCGAGCUUGAAAAGAGUCGUCACUCGGUCGGCAGCCGGGUAGCCCCACCGCCGCCGCCUCCCCCGCCGCCGCCUGCUGCGCCAUCCAAUGGGCCUGCUUCUUGUGCAGACAUCCCACCACCUCCUCUUCCACCACCACCCCCCAGCGAUCCUACGCAUCCACCACCACCGCCACCUGAAGCCCCACCUCUUCCUCCACUGCCCCCUCCCCCACCUGCUGCUGUGGUGCCACCCUCUGCAGAAGCUCCACCACCAGUGCCUCCCAAGGCACCCUCAAAGCCUUGCACACCCUCUGAAGGCUCCCCGGAGCUGGCCUCCUCGCCAGAAGAGGCAGCCACAGCACCAUCCCCUGGUGGCGGGGAGGACACCAGUGCUCCACACAGCAACAAUGGGAUGUUGGAAGAGGAGGAUGAGGGCAGCCUGGGUAGUGGGCGGUCAUCUGCCGAGCAGGUAUCCGCACAACCAAGCCCUACGCAGCCUGCAGCAGCACCACCCCAGCGCAAGAGCAUCAAGGAAUUGCCUAUGCCGCCUGGCAUGAAGGUGGAGGACGUAAUGUCACCCGAGGUGGCUGACCGGGAAGAAGGAUCGCCUCAGCUUACUCAACAGCAACAGCAGCAGCAGAUGAAGCAUGCAUUCACCAUGGCCACCCAGAGGGCAUUCUCUGCAACACCUGCUACCGGAACCCAGCCACCUCAAGGGGCAGCUGCUGCCUCCAUGCAGGUGUUUCGCAGGCCAAGGAUUCUGAACAAGCCUCCUUCUGAUGAUGAACGUUUUCCCAAUUGGGGCGAGCGCUGCGUGGAUGUUUUUGAUAUUGUGUGCCAGAUAGGAGAGGGCACCUAUGGACAAGUAUACAAAGCCAAAGAUAAGGACACCGGUGAACUGGUGGCCCUGAAGAAGGUGCGGCUAGAGAAUGAGAAGGAGGGCUUCCCCAUCACAGCUGUGCGAGAAAUCAAGAUUUUGCGUCAGCUCAACCACCCAAGCAUUGUCAACCUCAAAGAGAUUGUCACUGACAAACAGGAUGCCCUGGACUUUAAGAAGGACAAAGGGAAGGGAUCCUCCAUGACGUAUCCAGUGAGCCUCCCCUCCAUCCCCUGUGAGCAUCAAGGCCGUGUGCCACUGCCGGGCACGUGCACACGCGAAGACUGGGCCCUUAUGAAUCCCCGGCCCUGGGGAGGCGUUUGUAGCUCUGGAACAAGUGCUCCCUGUCCAUACCGGGAGCUCCAUGGGGCCGCGCCAUCUGGUGAAGGGGCAUUUUACUUGGUGUUUGAAUACAUGGACCACGACUUGAUGGGCUUGCUGGAAUCGGGGCUGGUGGACUUCAAUGAGCACCAUGUGGCCUCCUUCAUGCGUCAACUGCUGGACGGGCUUAGCUAUUGCCACCGAAGAAACUUCCUGCACCGUGACAUCAAAUGCUCGAACAUACUCAUGAACAACAGAGGCCAAAUUAAGCUGGCUGACUUUGGGCUGGCACGACUAUACAGUGCAGAAGACAAGGCACGGCCCUACACAAACAAGGUCAUUACACUCUGGUACCGACCGCCAGAACUACUUUUGGGAGAGGAGCGGUACGGACCUGCUAUUGAUGUCUGGAGCUGCGGGUGUAUCCUGGGUGAGCUGUUCACCCGCAAGCCAGUCUUCCAGGCCAACCAGGAGAUGGCCCAACUGGAGGCCAUCAGCAGGGUGUGUGGCACACCCUGUCCAGCCGUGUGGCCACGUGUCAUCCAGCUGCCCCACUGGGCCACCUUUCGACCUAAAAAGCAGCACCGGCGGCGGCUGCGCGAGGAGUUUUCCUUCCUGCCAGGUCCUGCUCUUGAUCUGCUGGACCAGAUGCUCGAACUGGACCCUGAGCGUCGCAUCACUGCCGAGGCAGCCCUGCGCUCCCCCUGGCUUGCCCAAGUGCGGCCCGAGCGUAUGGCCCCACCCGACCUCCCGCACUGGCAGGACUGCCACGAAAUGUGGUCCAAGCGUCGCAGGCGACAGCUUCGGCUAGAACAAGACAUGGCAGGCACAUCAUCGGGGCCCCUACCAUCCUCAGGCUUGCCCAUGAACCUGGGAGGAGGCGGCAACAGUGUGCAUUCGGCUCCGAGCACUCAGGACAUCUCUCGAGACGAUGGGCCCCCACUUGGUGGGCGGCCCUGUGUACUCGAUGAACCUGACAGUUGUAAGUCUGCCGACGGCUCUGACAGCAACCCGGCUGCGCCCAGUGUGAACAGCCAGCAACUGCAGACCAACCUCAACACCAUCACGGCUGCUUUCCAGAAGCAUGAAACUCUCAGCAUUGCCCAGCUAGCCAAUUUGCUUAACAUUAAGGUUGAUACCUCCACAAAGCAGCUUCUUGAAAACCUGAACAUGCAGCUACUGCUGGCAGCAGCUGCCAAGCAGGCCCAAAAGGUGCAGAUGGCCAGCCAUCAGAGCAGGCAGAUGCAGCAGCAGCAGCAGCAGCCGCAGCAAGUGCCUCCACCCCUUCAGCAGCACUCAACAACACCAUUGCAACACACCCAGCCAGCAGCACAGCAGCAGCAACAGCAGCAGCAGCCAUCCCCACAGCUUCUUGUGUCAUCCUCCAGGCCUCAAGCGGACAUGUCAAGGGUUGACGAAGUGGGCGGGGGCUUGGAGCAUACCAAUGAGACAGGAGGGGGCCGCCUAGCACGGCCACUGCAGGCACCUGUGCUGUCACCCCCACAGCCAUCGUCUCGCAGGCCACCACCAUCCCACCUUGUGGAGUCCCCCACACAUUCUAAGUGGAGGAGUGGCGAGUCCGUCCUACCUGCUGGCUCCUUGAGGCCACCUGUGCCACAGCACCCACUUCCACCUGCCUCCGACAUCCGGGGGCAGACCACCAGCCCUGGUGCCUACCUCUUCGACCGUGGGCCUUUGGGUCCACCCCUCCACAUGGAUGACACCCAUGGUGACCGUGCCCCUCCUGUGCUUCCUCGACGGAUUGAGGCCUCCACUGCGCACCGUGGAAGGCCACCGUCACCUCCCAUGCCUGUGCUUGGCCGAGGGUCAGGGGAUGCCACUUCAUACCAUCGGAGAGGACCACCCGACGACAGUUCGCCACCCUUUGAAUCCGUGGGUCUGUCUGGCAUGAGUUCCUCCGCUGCGCAACAACAGAGCUACACCACUUCAGGCGUCAAGGCUGCAUUGGCGCAGCUGCUGGAAGCGCAGGGCUUUCGCGUAAAGAAUCCCAGCAGCCACUCAGGUACUCCGGCGAAGGCAUCAAACAGCUGUGCUAGCUGAAAUGCUCUGCCCAUGGGUCUUCGACCAUGGAUGGCUUGACAUAGCUGUGGGAACCGCCGCUGGCUCCGCGAUUGGGCGAGGACUGGAACGGCGAUCCAGACCAGCUGGAUCCCCGGGAGCCUGAAGACUGCGACAUCAAGAGAAGAACAAGAGAAAUAAAUGGCAGGCAGCGGCAAAGUGCACAUGCAGUGCUCUGCCGCUUCACCGAGCCAGGCAACGGCGCUGCGCACUACAUCUCGGAGGCAGCUGUACGCCGACGUGUGCACCUUUUGCUCCAUUCUCAUUGUCACCUUCCAACAAAACUUACUGAGAAUGCUGCCAAACACACGAAAAGGUGCUGCCUGAUUGGCUGGUGGACAAGGUGCCACACACAAGCACAGCUGCCCAGGCUGUCUGCCCUGAAGUGACUGCGGAGGGUGGCAUUAUUCAUCAUCGGUGGCUCCCUGAAGGGAAAGCAAAUUUUCAAGAGGAUUGGCAACACGAUCAGAAAAGCCGAGUGAGCUGUAUCAACAAGAAAGCCACAAUGACUCUUGUGGUGGGAGGAAAUCAGUCUAAGAAGAUGUGACAAGACGUUGCUGAGGAAGCUUUCAACACCAAGGAACUGAGAAAAGAGCGGGUAAACAUUAUGAAGAGGUAAAAAAAAGCCUGAAAGAAAGAAAAGGACAGCCUUGCAGCAACUGUUCCCCAUAUGCAGACAUGCACAGGAUUAGAAGAUACAUUACAAAUGCGUUGUCAGUAGAAAUUGCUUGCAAAAUUUUUUGUGCUUUAAGCUACCAGUAUUUAAGGAUUGAAAAAUAGUUUGAGAAAAUAUAUAAAGGAAGGCAUUGAGAUUACUGUGGUGCAGUGUUUCAGUACACUGGAGCGCUACGCCUUUAACUCUUUGCAUGGUUGUAUAUAUGAUUGGGAGAGACAGUGAAACAGCUGUUUACUGUGUGCGACUUCAUAAACAAUGAUAUGUCUAUAAAUUGGCCCCUUUUUAAUGUAGCAUUCUUUUUAACGGAGUUUUCAUGGUAAACCAACCCUCAUUCAAGGAAUUUUGUUUAUAACUUGGGAACUUUCUGUAUGCCAGAAAUGUUAUUCUCUAUACUUACCUCAAUAAAAAAAACUGGUUUUUGGGGCCGUUUAUGUCGGAAGAUGUCAUCACAAUUGUGCCAAGGCCUAAAAGACCAAAGACAACUCACUCCUUUCUUUGUCACUCUCGUGAUGCACUUACAGCUGUUAAUUGGCUAGUUGCGUUCCAGGUGUUCCAGGAGAAAAGGCAGUUUUAAAGCGAAGCUUUCUUUGUGUCUUCCUUUGACUUUGUGCUGCUGUUGCUGGCACGCUGCAUUGGGGGGUAGUUCAGAGGGUGUAUAUACAUGGUAGGAGCGUGGCAGAGACGAAAGUGGACACGAGAAACUCGUUUGAACCAUUCCAUCACGUGUCAUAGUGCCCUCUGGAGCUCCCUUGGUGUCACCACAUAAGCCUCUUUACAGCUGUAAUUAUCAUGGCCCCCCUCAAAAGCAUUGCAAAAACUGCAGCACUUGUUCUUUUGCUAACGUGCAAGUCCAGAGGGGAUGUAGAUAGGAGGAUGCAGAGAAUGGGUAGAACGGAUGCAGUCUCGAAACAAGUGAAUAACAGCUUUGCCACUCUCACAGUUUCUAUACAAGGGAAGAGCGUGGGAGAGGGAAUAGACGACAUGAAAAAGCAAGGACACAGGGGUUGCAGGCAAACUGAAGGUGCAGUACGGUAUGGUUCACUUCUGUUUCUGAAAAAUAAACAUAAUGCAAAUUUGUCAAGCGGACAACCGACGCAGGGCAUGUAGACGCAAAGCACAUUGAAACACCGUAAGGGCUAGGCAGCACUACGGAAGCCGUCGCAUGUCAAAUCAACACUUCUGUGCCUGCGGCAGCAGCUUGAUGGCUAUGGCAUUGCUCGAAGUAGCAUAUUCAGUCCCGACCUUGACAGCCACGUUUUGACAGGAGCGAAAUACAAUAACACUGGUGUACUUAGAUUUAGGUGCACGUGAAAGAGAACCAGGGUGUCAAAAUUAAUUCGAAGUACAACCCUAUGGCGUGCCUCAUAAUCCGAUCAUAGUUUUGGCUCGUACAGCCCCACAAUUCAAUUAAACAUUAACACCUCUGCCACGAUGUGAUGUGCCAUGUGAGGUAAUGAUAAUGCCCAACCCUCUCAGAAAUUAUGAACAGUUGUGCGCAGGAACGCUUCAAGCAAACGUUUCCCUUUGUGUUCUGUGUACUAUGCAGACAAACGGCAGUGGUGCGUUUAAGGAAACAUUUAACAUCAAUUCGCCACUCUCGUAUAGGACUAAGAUUAAACACUGGAGAAAUUAAACAUUCAGCAUCAACAUCAUCGCUAAUUAUCGUCAGUCAAAGCAAAUACCAUAGAAAGCUUUGCUUACAUUGAUUACUAUGGUGUUUAGGAUCUGCAUAUUUUUUCUGCUUGCAGUUUUUUUUUUUUUUUUUUCAAAUUUGUAUGCUUGUUCCGUACUGCAAGUUGUAGCCCUAGUAAAGUGUUAGUGCUUUUUUAUCCAUUGCAUAAUCAUAACUGUGAUAAAUGGCAGGACUGUGAUCGCUAGGCUUAUGUUUUCUUGACAUGUAUGCAAUAUACAUGAAGCUUUCAACGUAACUAUGUAGGCUGGUUGCUUUACAAACCAUUUUGGCCUCUCCGAUUGUGUGGCAGCUCCUUAUGCAAGCUGUCGAUUUCAUCUUUUGAUUGUCGAUACUAUGUGUAUAACAUGCAUUUAAACAACUGACAUGCUCCAGCAGUUGUUUUGAUGUGACAUUGAUGUGGUACAGGUGGCUUGUGCCAAGCAUUGGUCAAUAGUUAGCUUUCCUAUUGAAACUGCUGUUCAUGUAUUCAUUCCUCUAUGCACUGUUACAGUAUAAACUGAUAUUUUCAAGUGCUCUUGGUUACUGUGUUGCCACAAAGCUUUUGCGUUCAAGACUUUGCACAGGCUGUAUGCUACAAAAGGAAUUGCAUGCCUGCUCACUUGAAAAAUGGAAGCAUGAAGUUGAAUUAGAUUGAAGUCGGCAAACAAUAGUACGAAAGAAAGAAGUGAGAUUGCAAAUUGUGUUGUCUGAUUGCUUCUUGUGAUUUAUAAAAAAACGACAAAACAAGGCUCAGCAUUGUGACCCAUGAGCUUAUUUUUGUGACAUGUUGUCUUUUUAGGUUUACAAGCAUUCUGUUAAGGUUUAUUUUUGAAUGGCAUGCUACAAACUAUGUAAAGGUGUACAAUUGAACUUCAUUGUGUUUUUCAGGCAAGCACUGAGGAAAAAAAUGCAUGAUCCAGGAAAAUGUAGCGCCUAAUAAGCCAAAAAUAGUUGAAAACUCGCUAAAUAAAGCUCGCUAUCAGUGUCUGAAGGUCUGAUUGAAUGUUACUUUUAUUUCUUUUUCUUUUUUUUUUUUUUUUGUGCAGUGGUAGCCUUGAAUUUUACUCAGUGAAGCUUGUGAGUUCCAUCUGUCAGUUGGGUCGAAUGUUCAAUAAAGAAUGCUUGUUUUUUAGUG